AGCGAACGCUGGCGGCAGGCCUAACACAUGCAAGUCGAACGGACCCUUCGGGGUUAGUGGCGGACGGGUGAGUAACACGUGGGAACGUGCCUUUAGGUUCGGAAUAGCUCCUGGAAACGGGUGGUAAUGCCGAAUGUGCCCUUUGGGGGAAAGAUUUAUCGCCCUUAGAGCGGCCCGCGUCUGAUUAGCUAGUUGGUGAAGUAAUGGCUCACCAAGGCGACGAUCAGUACCUGGUCUGAGAGGAUGACCAGCAACAUUGGGACUGGGGAACGGCCCAAACUCCUACGGGAGGGAGGAGUGGGGAAUCGUGCACAAUGGGCGAAAGCCUGACGCAGCCAUGCCGCGUGGAUGAUGAAGGUCUUAGGAUUGUAAAAUCCUUUCACCGGUGAAGAUAAUGACUGUAGCCGGAGAAGAAGCCCCGGCUAACUUCGUGCCAGCCGCCGCAGUAAUAC
rnacentral:rRNA from 1 species